AAACCACCACAUACCCAGCCGUCUGCUUCCACUCCCUCUCAGCCUACGCAAAUGCCAUACAAACAAGCCCUAAACGCUUAGCCGAGACCGCUCUAGCCGUUACCCUGAGCCGAGCCCAAUCCACGAAACUCUUCGUCUCGCGUCUGACGCGUUUCAAGGGCCUUAAGAAGCGCGAGAUCGAAGCCAUCAAGGACUGCGUGGAGGAGAUCAACGAUACCAUUGACCGUUUAACUAAGUCGGUCCAAGAGAUGAAGCUAUGUGGGAGUGCCAAAAAUCAAGAACAG
rnacentral:lncRNA from 1 species